AUUGAACGCUGGCGGCAGGCCUAACACAUGCAAGUCGAACGGUAACAGGAAGAAGCUUGCUUCUUUGCUGACGAGUGGCGGACGGGUGAGUAAUGUCUGGGAAACUGCCUGAUGGAGGGGGAUAACUACUGGAAACGGUAGCUAAUACAGCAUAACGUCGCAAGACCAAAAAGGGGGACCUUCGGGCCUCUUGCCAUCGGAUGUGCCCAGAUGGGAUUAGCUAGUAGGUGGGGUAACGGCUCACCUAGGCGACGAUCCCUAGCUGGUCUGAGAGGAUGACCGGCCACACUGGAACUGAGACACCGUCCAUACUCCUACGGGAGGCAGCAGUGGGGAAUAUUGCACAAUGGGCGCAAGCCUGAUGCAGCCAUGCCGCGUGUAUGAAGAAGGCCUUCCGGUUGUAAAGUACUUUCAGCGGGGAGGAAGGGAGUAAAGUUAAUACCUUGGCUCAUUGACGUUACCCGCAGAAGAAGCACCGGCUAACUCCGUG
rnacentral:rRNA from 1 species